UAGAAUGUACAAAAAUAUAAAUGCUUAUUUAUGGCCCUAAUUACAGUCUUGAUUAGGAAACCUAAUUAUAGUCCUAAUUAGGAAGUAUAUUGUUAAACUAUUCUUGAAUACUCACUUAUAAGUUUAAGCUUUUUGUUGGAGUGGUUUGUUGACAUGGUAUCAGAGCAUCUCAGACCAAAAGAUUCAAAGUUUGAAUCUUGGCCAUCUCAAUUUAUUAUUAAAUAUUUCAGCACAAGUUAAAGUGGGUUUGCGCUUGUUCAUGCUUCAAGCCUAAUGGGCAUUCACGUGUGAGGGUGUGUUAAAGAUAUAAAAUUAUCCUUAGGGCUGUCACUUACAAAUUUAAACAUUUAGGUUGAAUUGUUUCUUAACAUACAACACAUG
rnacentral:misc_RNA from 1 species